ensembl:lncRNA
CCCUGGUUUUAUGCCCCUGCUACCAUGCCUCCCUUCCCAUACCCCCUGGGUAUCCACCCUACCCCAGCGCCCCACCACAUUACUCUAAUAGCACAGCAGCCUUAAGCCAGACAUACGCAUACACCCAGGCUGCUAGCAACCUCCAGCUCUCAUCUACUCAGCCUGCCAGUAACCACCAGUUAACAUCUAUCCCACUCCCAUACAACCAGCCCACUGGCAACCUGCUCCAGCUCAUGAACCUCCAACUCCCAAACAGCAAGCCCGCUAGCACCCGCCAGCUUACAUACAUCCAGCCAGCUAACAACCCCCAGGGCAAAUCUACCCAGCCUGGUGGGACCCGCCAGCUUACAUACUUCCAGCCCGCUAGCAACCCCCAGGUCACACCUACCCAGCCCGAUAGUGAACUCAAGUUCACAAGCACGGCUGUACUGACGCCAGCAGUGAAAGUGUUGACCCCAGGCCCCAUCUCCUUGAGCAAGGCCCAACAACUGAAGGAGCCAUCACCCCCCCGCUGUCUGCAUUACGUUAAGACGGUGGUGCCCAAGGGCAGCAAACGCCGCAUGAGACGGUCAAGAGUCACGAGAAACAGGCAGGCGCUUGAAGAAAGGUGUAAUAAAUACAAGAAAGAGGUUCUGAGAAAGAGGAGAAUAUAUCGAGAUCUCCAAGGGAAGAGAGAUGGACUGAUUGCAAGAGCUGCAGCGAAAUUGGCCGCUCAGUUGGCGGCAAAGUACCCCAGGGCCCUCUCUGAAGCGGAGGCAGAGAGCGAUGUUGAAGGGGAGAAAAAAACAAUGCCCGAAGAAGCGAUUAAGGGGAAACUAAAGAAGAAGCUUGAAGAGUUCAACCUGAAGAUGAAGCGGAAAUCGACGCAACAAACACCAACAUAAACUCAAAGGCAGUUUGUU